GACGAACGCUGGCGGCAUGCCUUACACAUGCAAGUCGAACGGCAGCACGGGGGCAACCCUGGUGGCGAGUGGCGAACGGGUGAGUAACACAUCGGAACGUGCCCAGUAGUGGGGGAUAGCUCGGCGAAAGCCGGAUUAAUACCGCAUACGACCUACGGGUGAAAGCGGGGGAGUCGCAAGACCUUGCGCUAUUGGAGCGGCCGAUGUCAGAUUAGGUUGUUGGUGGGGUAAAGGCCUACCAAGCCGACGAUCUGUAGCUGGUCUGAGAGGACGACCAGCCACACUGGGACUGAGACACGGCCCAGACUCCUACGGGAGGCAGCAGUGGGGAAUUUUGGACAAUGGGCGCAAGCCUGAUCCAGCCAUGCCGCGUGCGGGAAGACGGCCU
rnacentral:rRNA from 1 species